GCAGCUCUAANUNGGNGGUAAACUCCAUCUAAGGNUAAAUAUGACCACNAGACCGAUAGCGAACAANNACCGNGAGGGAAAAGAACUUUGAAGAGAGAGUUCAAGAGUACGNGAAACCGUUCAGGGGUAAACCUGAGAANUCCAAAAGAUCGAANUGGGGGAUUCANCCGUAGCGUGUCGGCUCGCUUGCGGAUGGCGAUGGCUCGUCGGGCCUUGGCUCGGCGACACGCCUUCGCUCGUCGUGUCCGGUCAUCGUUGAUGUGCACUUCUCCCCUAGUAGAACGUCGCGACCCGUUGGGUGUCGGCCCACGGUACGGCAAGGUAGACUGUCGCGUCGCGCUCCGGCGCGCACACGGCAGACCGUCGUUAACCCGGCCGGCUGCCCGGCGGUAUAAGUCAUGGAACCGAUUGACAAUGGUAACGGGCCGCACGGUAUCGGUCGUCGUUCGCGGCGAUCGUGUUCAGUGCGUUCAGGCCCCUCGGCAGGUCGCCCGCGCACGGAUUCACGAACCUAGUCUUCGUAUCCGGGCGUGCACAACGCUCCCCGUUUGGUGGCCGUUAGUCGAGGGUGUCCUCGGACCGGCUCUCGCCGCGCCAAUCAUUCACGUGGUUGGCGUUAUACCGGUCGGCGACGCUACUGCUUUGGGUACUUUCAGG
rnacentral:rRNA from 1 species